AAGACAUUGUAUCUGGAAAGUGCCUCACUUACAGCAUACUUGAUAUCACUAGCAUUUCUUACAUCCUUCAACUCGACAUGAUCAUCAAAGGCAGGUUGACAUGGCGUGAUCUUGACUGGCUUUCCAUUCACCUUUGGCGAGUCCAGAAGAACUGCACGUUGUGCUUCUUGUGAAUCUUUGAAAGUGACAAGUGCAACAUUAGUCGGCAUAUCACUUAUCACUUCAU
rnacentral:misc_RNA from 1 species